rnacentral:rRNA from 1 species
UACGUAGGGUGCAAGCGUUAAUCGGAAUACUGGGCGUAAAGCGUGCGCAGGCGGUUUUGUAAGUCUGUCGUGAAAUCCCCGGGCUCAACCUGGGAAUUGCGAUGGAGACUGCAAGGCUAGAAUCUGGCAGAGGGGGGUAGAAUUCCACGUGAUAGCAGUGAAAUGCGUAGAGAUGUGGAGGAACACCGAUGGCGAAGGCAGCCCCCUGGGUCAAGA